CACGUGGGCAACCUGCCCCUAGCACUGGGAUAACUCCGGGAAACCGGGGCUAAUACCGGAUAUGACCUCCGAGGGCAUCCUUGGUGGUGUAAAGGAUUCUGGCUAGGGAUGGGCCCGCGGCCUAUCAGCUUGUUGGUGGGGUAAUGGCCUACCAAGGCGACGACGGGUAGCCGGCCUGAGAGGGCGACCGGCCACACUGGGACUGAGACACGGCCCAGACUCCUACGGGAGGCAGCAGUGGGGAAUAUUGCACAAUGGGCGAAAGCCUGAUGCAGCGACGCCGCGUGAGGGAUGACGGCC
rnacentral:rRNA from 1 species